GGGUACGUUGUGACACUUACUGGGGUACUUUCUUACAACUGUCGAUAAGUCGGUAUUAUGUUAACAAACAAGUUUAAAAUGAAUACGUCUCCUGCUUCUUGCAUCUAGGAAGUUUUAUUUUAAUUAAUUAACUGUGCUUUGAACCACCUCAUAUCCCAACUGUGAUACUGAGAGUCCUCAUCAGCCAAUUUCCCCAUUGUUACAUGUGCCAUCUAGUCGGAAUCGUCCUCCAUUAACUUCUCACCACACAGAUCACACAGAAAAGCCCUCUCGUCCAUCGGUACAGUCAGUGUGUGCCCAGUCUUUACAGAUCAUCCAUUGCACCCAUUCUUCACCUGGAAGGGAGUUGGAAUACCAAUCUGAG